GAGAGAGAGAGAGAGAGGAAGGAAAAGGAAAUAUAAGGAUUGGUUUAGCAUGCAGUUUCUGGGGACAGCUGUGGAGAGAAGUCUGAAGAGCCUGAGCUUGACGCAGGGUUGGACAGAGAGGGACUGGGGAUGCCAGACAGGGCAGGAUGCCCGUGCAGGGGUGCAACAGGGAAGAGCCAAAGUCCUAAAUGGAGCAGUGGCAGAAUAGGGAUGGAUGUGAUAUAACUUAGAUGAAGUUUUAAACUCAUUAAUGAGGAACAAGUCUUCAGAAUACUAUGGCAUAUUCAUUAACAAUAAAAAACUCAAAAUUUUUCUCUGUAAGUUCGUGUGCCCUGUACUUGCUGCCCAUUUUUAGUUAUAGUGGGAUGUCUGCUUCUCAGAAGUCACACCCCUGUGACAUCAGCAAAUAUGUGCUACAUUUGUUAAUCCUGGAUCUAUUUCCAGUGGGCUGUGAUGGUUACUUCAUUCCCUGAGGCUGAAAAAGCUUGAGAAUCUUUAUUUGUGGCAAAUGGCAUAUGACGACAUUCACCAAACAAGAGAAAGACAAACAAGGCAUUUUUACCAGAAACUAAGUCCCCUUUUAAAAUAUUAGUGAAAGAGAAAAAUUCUGAACAAACAGUCCACAUCUUAUCAUUUAUGUGCCAAAAUGGCUUUUCUAAAGGCAGUUGUUUGGAACUUGGAAUCUAGUUUGACAUAAAAACAAGGUAAUAAAUUGUUCCUAACUAAUCCCACAAAAGCACAUUUAACCCGAACCAAAGUGAGACUAUUUGCAUUUAUCAUUUAAAAAAACUUCUGCAAUACUGGCACUGAAACAAUAUAAUUGCAUAUGAAAUUAUUUUUUUGAAAUUAUUUUCAAUGCUAGGUAAAAUUAAUCGUUUGUUCUUCCUCUCUGAUCAACAGAUAGUUAUAGGCCAUUUCCUGUGUGCACAGAACUGUACUGAGAAUUCAAAAAGGUAUACAACUGGUCCCUGCUGCCAGUUAGUUUGCAAUAGAACCUCUGGAGGAUGAGGAGGCUCAACACAGCACCUGCCAGACAGCAGUUGUGCAAGGAAUGCUGGGUCAGUGUUGGCAGAGAGCAACUGCCGUGGAGAUACCCGGAUAUCUACAAAGGAAAUAAUCUGAAAGUUUUCCAUGAUAUGAGAAGGAAAAUAAACAAAGACAGAAGGAAGGCAGUAAAUUAUUCCUGAGGUUCCCUGACUGAGUGCUCUAACCUUUUGGAAGGAACAAACAGAUCUCCAGAGACCUUAUGACAAAAGGUUCUGUACUAUAUGCUGUUUACAGAGAAGGCCCCCAUGAUGGAGAACAGCCAUUAUCACAGUCUAGUGAUGGGAACGAAAAGUUUGCUUCCAAUUACACAAUGAAGGAGGAGAUUUUCUUCACAUAUCAAUUUUAAUUUGUCCCUUAUACCAGUCAAUAAAGCAGAGCGGUCAAAAGCAAA